GUUAGAACCCCGCGAGGCAGGGUGAGGGGCGCCACCGAGGAAGCGCCCACCGGGCUCCCGGGGCUGCCAGGCCCCAAAUUGAGGAAGUUGACUGCCAGAUCACACUCUGUUGGCCCACGCAGAUAGAUUCCAUUCAUCCUUUCUAAUGUCUACACCAUAUUUUGGAUAACAUGCCAUCAUCUCACAUUGUGUUGAAAGAAGAAACCAGAAUGUUGGGGUUGAUGUAUGCCAUAUGGAUGAAUUUAAACAGUUUCGGCCUUGCAAUAAUUGGUAUACUUCUAAUUGCAUGUGAAAUUAUACUCUUUUUAACGAAAGAUGAAACUAUUCAGUGGCCACAUGUACCCAGUAACAGAGGGAGCAAAGCAAAUCUUAUCCUCAAAGAACUGCAGCUGCUUGUUAGAUCUACCUGGUGGUUCCAUAGAGAAACUGCUCAGAGAACCUGCCUUUACCUCGCCUAAAACAGAACUAUCCCGGAGCUCAGCAAAGGAGUCCAUUCAUCCUCUAUAACUGCUAUACAAUAUCUCUGUUAAAAUGCUGAGAAGAUUUAUCCUAAAAGAAGGCACCAAAGCAAUGGGGUUCAUCAACUCAGGAUCCAGUAGUGUAAUACAGAAGCCUGUUACGAGAUAUAAGGCACUUUGCCCUCGGAAAUCUCACUGUCGGAAUCCUUGGAAAUCACACCACGCACAACUUCUAUUUCUUCAUAAUUUGCAAAGAACCAGUGUGACUCCAGUCAAGAACAAAAGAUUAAUUGUGAAUUAGCGAAGAACUCUAAUUUUUUCAAGCAGCCACAUGGAAAACGCAUUCUAAUGAAAUCCUUUCCAUUGCUCUUUUUUCUUAGUUCUUCAAUAAAGCAUGCGAUUUGAUCACAAAUUGACUCUUCCCUUUUUAAAAGCCAGUAUGGGUUAACACGGAUAAAUAUAGCCCCUGCAAUCCCUGUGGUUGAAGGGAUGUAGGAGAGUAGUGUUGAAUGCCCACUUUAUCUUAGGUUGGAGGAGAUUGGCUUGAAUUAAGGAACUCC
rnacentral:lncRNA from 1 species